GACGAACGCUGGCGGCGUGCCUAAUACAUGCAAGUCGAACGCUUCUUUCCUCCCGAGUGCUUGCACUCAAUUGGAAAGAGGAGUGGCGGACGGGUGAGUAACACGUGGGUAACCUACCCAUCAGAGGGGGAUAACACUUGGAAACAGGUGCUAAUACCGCAUAACAGUUUAUGCCGCAUGGCAUAAGAGUGAAAGGCGCUUUCGGGUGUCGCUGAUGGAUGGACCCGCGGUGCAUUAGCUAGUUGGUGAGGUAACGGCUCACCAAGGCCACGAUGCAUAGCCGACCUGAGAGGGUGAUCGGCCACACUGGGACUGAGACACGGCCCAGACUCCUACGGGAGGCAGCAGUAGGGAAUCUUCGGCAGUGGACGAAAGUCUGACCGAGCAACGCCGCGUGAGUGAAGAAGGUUUUCGGAUCGUAAAACUCUGUUGUUAGAGAAGAACAAGGACGUUAGUAACUGAACGUCCCCUGACGGUAUCUAACCAGAAAGCCACGGCUAACUACGUG
rnacentral:rRNA from 1 species